rnacentral:rRNA from 1 species
GACGAACGCUGGCGGCGUGCUUAACACAUGCAAGUCGAGCGAGGCCCACCUUUCGGGGUGGUGUCCUAGCGGCGAACGGGUGAGUAACACGUGGGCAACCUGCCCCCGGCUCGGGGAUAACCCCAAGAAAUUGGGGCUAAUACCGGAUACGACCGCUGACCGCAUGGUCUGGUGGUGGAAAGAUUUAUCGGCUGGGGAUGGGCCCGCGGCCUAUCAGCUUGUUGGUGGGGUAGUGGCCUACCAAGGCGACGACGGGUAGCCGGCCUGAGAGGGUGACCAGCCACACUGGGACUGAGACACGGCCCAGACUCCUACGGGAGGCAGCAGUGGGGAAUAUUGCGCAAUGGGCGAAAGCCUGACGCAGCGACGCCGCGUGGGGGAUGACGGCCUUCGGGUUGUAAACCUCUUUCAGCAGGGACGAAGCCCGCAAGGGUGACGGUACCUGCAGAAGAAGCACCGGCCAACUACGUGCCAGCAGCCGCAGUAA